rnacentral:tRNA from 1 species
AGCCCCGUGAUUCCCGCAAUUAAAAUCCAAUUUUUAAAGACCUAAAUGGUUUUUGCCGGGGUUU